AACGUUCUUCGCAAGAAGAGCGUGGCAAACGGGAGAGUAACACAUUGGUAAUCUACCUUUAUCUUGGGCAUAACCCGGAGAAAUCUGGGACAAUUCCCAAUAGUCAUGGGGGGACAUAAGUCAUUCCCAUGUAAAGUUCCGACGGAUAAAGAGGAGCCUAUGGCCCAUCAGCUAGUUGGUAGGGUAAUGGCCUACCAAGGCUACGACGGGUAGCAGGUGUGAGAGCAUGACCUGCCCCACUGGGACUGAGACACUGCCCAGACUCCUACGGGAGGCUGCAGUCAAGAAUCUUCCUCAAUGGGCGAAAGUCUGAAGGAGCAAUGCCGCGUGAUCGAUGAAGCCCCUCGGGGUGUAAAGAUCUU
rnacentral:rRNA from 1 species